rnacentral:rRNA from 1 species
AACGAACGCUGGCGGCAUGCCUAACACAUGCAAGUCGAACGGGAUCCUAGCUUGCUAGGUGAGAGUGGCGGACGGGUGAGUAACACGUGGGAAUCUGCCUUUUGGUUCGGGAUAACCGCGGGAAACUGCGGCUAAUACCGAAUGCCCUCGUGAGGGGAAAGAUUUAUCGCCAGAAGAGGAGCCCGCGUCCGAUUAGGUAGUUGGUGGGGUAAAGGCCUACCAAGCCGACGAUCGGUAGCUGGUCUGAGAGGAUGAUCAGCCACACUGGGACUGAGAUACGGCCCAGACUCCUACGGGAGGCAGCAGUGGGGAAUAUUGGACAAUGGGGGCAACCCUGAUCAGCAAUGCCGCGUGAGUGAUGAAGCCUUAGGUUGUAAAGCUCUUUUGCCAGGGAAGAUGAUGACUGUACCUGGAGAAUAAGCCCCGGCUAACUUCGUGCCAGCAGCCGCGGUAAU